UGGAAAGUGUGUAACUUUGAGCCACGUGGUUAUCAACACUCUUCUUCACAAGUUGUGAAUCACAACUCGCUCAACAAUAAUUCCUCAAUUUCAACUAAAAAACUUCCACAGUAAACAAAUUUGAGAAAUAUAAAUCCCCAAAACGCCCACAAAAUCGGGGAUGAACUGCGAUAUCUAGAAAUAAUUUAAACGGCUAAUGAAGCAGAGAUAACUAAUUAUCGUGGUCGAAUACACACAAUGCUUGAUUGUAACCCCUGCCAAGUUAUCGUAUUAAAAUCUGAUUAAAGUUAUUCAAGGCAUCCAAACCCGAAAAAAUCCAUCUGACCCGUGCCAGAUUACUGAAUAUGGACCUCGGAAUAAGAU